rfam:Nicotiana attenuata strain TT chromosome 8, whole genome shotgun sequence.
ACCCCCUUAAACUAAAACAGAUUCACAUAGGUUCGUACCACUGUAUCCUUGAGUUCUAAGGAGACAAGAUACCAACUCUGGUGGAUGGAUCAUUGCCAUUAGACCAGAGUGUGUAGGCCAAGUUUGGUGGAUGAGUCAUGGCCAUUAGACCAGAGCAUGAUAGACGGCCCCCAUGGCCUUCGGGUCAUUGAGCCGUAGAUGAUCGUUUUCAGCCCCAACCGCGGUGCUGGGAUGGUCUAAUGGCUGUCUUAUAGACU